GCAUAUCAAUAAGCGGAGGAAAAGAAACUAACAAGGAUUCCCCUAGUAACUGCGAGUGAAGCGGGAAGAGCUCAAAUUUGAAAUCUGGCGGUUCUGCCGUCCGAGUUGUAAUCUGGAGAAGCGUUUUCCGUGCCGGACCGUGUACAAGUCCCUUGGAACAGGGCGUCAUAGAGGGUGAGAAUCCCGUCUUUGACACGGACUCCCGGUGCUCUGUGAUGCGCUCUCGAAGAGUCGAGUUGUUUGGGAAUGCAGCUCAAAAUGGGUGGUAAAUUCCAUCUAAAGCUAAAUAUUGGCGAGAGACCGAUAGCGAACAAGUACCGUGAGGGAAAGAUGAAAAGCACUUUGGAAAGAGAGUAAAACAGUACGUGAAAUUGUUGAAAGGGAAACGCUUGAAGUCAGUCGCGUCUUCUGGAACUCAGCCUUGCUCUGCUUGGCGCACUUUCCAGUUCGACGGGUCAGCAUCGGCUCUGGGGGGCGGACAAAGGCGCGGGGAAGGUGGCAGCUCCGGCUGCGUUAUAGCCCCGCGUUGUACGCGUCCCCCGGGACCGAGGAAUCCGGCGCUCGCGCCUGGGAUGCUGGCGUAAUGGCUUUAAACGACCCGUCUUGAAACACGGACCAAGGAGUGCUACGUGCUCGCGAGUGUUUGGGUGGAAAACCCGAGCGCGCAAUGAAAGUGAAAGUCGAGACCCUUUGCGGGGGCACCGACGCCCGAGCCUGAUGUUUUCGGAAGGCCUUGCGGUAGAGCGAGUAUGUUGCGACCCGAAAGAUGGUGAACUAUUCCUGAGGAGGGCGAAGCCAGAGGAAACUCUGGUGGAGGCUCGUAGCGGUUCUGACGUGCAAAUCGAUCGCAGGACUUGGGUAUAGGGGCGAAAGACUAAUCGAACCAUCUAGUAGCUGGUUCCUGCCG
rnacentral:rRNA from 1 species